GACGAACGCUGGCGGCGUGCUUAACACAUGCAAGUCGAACGGAAAGGCCCUGCUUUUGUGGGGUGCUCGAGUGGCGAACGGGUGAGUAACACGUGAGUAACCUGCCCUUGAUUUUGGGAUAACUUCAGGAAACUGGGGCUAAUACCGGAUAGGAGCUCCUGCUGCAUGGUGGGGGUUGGAAAGUUUCGGCGGUUGGGGAUGGACUCGCGGCUUAUCAGCUUGUUGGUGGGGUAGUGGCUUACCAAGGCUUUGACGGGUAGCCGGCCUGAGAGGGUGACCGGCCACAUUAGGACUGAGGUACGGCCCAGACUCCUACGGGGGGCAGCAGUGGGGAAUAUUGCACAAUGGGCGGAAGCCUGAUGCAGCAACGCCGCGGGCGGGAUGACGGCCUUCGGGUUGUAAACCGCUUUCGCCUGUGACGAAGCGUGAGUGACGGUAAUGGGUAAAGAAGCACCGGCUAACUACGUG
rnacentral:rRNA from 1 species